GCAAGUCGAGCGGUAACAGAAAUUAGCCUGCUAAUUUCCUCACGAGCGGCGGACGGGUGAGUAAUGCCUGGGAAUAUGCCUGAGUGUGGGGGAUAACUAUUGGAAACGAUAGCUAAUACCGCAUACUGUCUUCGGACCAAAGAGGGGGAUCUUCGGACCUCGCGCGAUAAGAUUAGCCCAGGUGAGAUUAGCUUGUUGGUGAGGUAAGAGCUCACCAAGGCGACGAUCUGUAGCUGGUCUGAGAGGAUGAUC
rnacentral:rRNA from 1 species